AAUGGUAGAGGCGCAAAGCUCAUAAGUAGCGCCGGACAUUUUGGAAAAGCGGUUUCCGUCCGGAGUGAAAGGGUGCUUUGCCGAAGCUUUUGCCGGCACCGUGUUUUGUCUGCAUUGGCUGGGGCGUGAGAGAAUAUCUUACGGACUGUCACUUCGGUGGAGAGCUAUCAU
rnacentral:ncRNA from 1 species